UUUAGGGUGCUCGACAUACUUGUUUGUACAUUACAAGGGACUGGUGUCUGCUUUGACAAGAGAAAGUAUGCUCACGUACGCAUUUGUAUUGUUGGUACAGGAAAUAUGCCGUAAAGCAUAUAAGCGUACACACAAUUGAAUUUUGAAUUAAAUCACUGAGGAGGCGGCAGGGGAGAACAUGUAUGUGUCUACCUCACGUGAUUAUCACGAUCGAUUCAGACAAAGGGUGUCGUCGCCGGCCUUGCAUACGACGGCCUGGGUGGAAGAGCCGACUUCUGCGGACAGCACAAUGUAAGCAAAAAUAUCAUGUAUACUUGCUUAUUAUCUUUGAAUUAAAUGUAUAUAUAACGGAAGCAAGAACAUCAUUAAGUAGGAACAAGAAUAAGUCAUCACAAACCUUCUUAAUCAUGACUUCAGCCUUGUGUGCAUCCUUAUCGACUUCCUCAGCAAUGUACUCAAGCUCCUCAGCCAACUUGUGCAGGGAUCCAUCCUUCGGUAGGGAAUUGGCAACAUUAGCACCGAACUUCUCCGUCACCUCGGAGGCACGCUCGAAAACGUCCAAAGCAGUUUCCACGUUUUCGAUCGCCUUGUCUAAUAUUAGAAAUCAACGAUUUCAGCAAGAACUUGAUUUCAAAUGUCAAUGGCAAAAAAACAUGAACUUAUGGACUUUGCAGGUCUCUGAAAGUCUGAACCUUCUGUCGACCGAAGAAUAUGACUUUUGCAGGAUUAAUAUCAGGUGUAGUCUAGCUUAGAACCCUGGCUACUUUGUAGAAUUAGUUCAGGACUCUGAAAGUCUGAACCUCCUGUCAACAACCCGCAAGAUUAAUUUCAGGACUCUGAAAGUCUGAACCUUCUGUCGACCGAAGAAUAUGAAUUUCCAGGAUUAAUAUAUCAGGUGUA
rnacentral:lncRNA from 1 species